UGCCAGGUCCACACAGAGGUGCGUAACCUGAGCCACAACAGCUGCGAGGCGAAAAACAUCCAGGUCAGCUUCUGCUCUGGGAAGUGCAAAUCUUACACACAGAUCAACGUCAUGCAGCCUUACUACCAGACGGUGUGUGAGUGCUGUACCUUCACGCUGGACUCCCUGCAGCCUGUUCGCUUCGUGGAGCUUGACUGUGGGAACGGGGAGAGGGAGACGACAGUUCUGCCCAGGAUCGAGCGCUGUGACUGUGUCGCUUGUGCCGGUGGAGACUAGAAUCAGACUGAAACUGACUGAAGACGGAUUGGAAUGGCAGCAGUCCUGGUCAGCAGUAAGAACUGGACAGGUGGACAAAAUGACGGCACGGCUAAAACAUUUCAUUCUAACUUCAUCUGUGUUGACAGUUAACACGAUAGUACAGAAUUAAAACUGUUUUGACCAAUUGUUGACAUCUUGUUUCCAGUAAGUCAUAAGACCUUUGAAGAUUGUUAGUCACUUUGAUUUUGAAGAAGAGGACAGUUGAAAACUCAACACAUUAA